GGCUCGGCCCCAGUCCGGCGGGCGGAAGGAGCGCUGCCGUGAGGGGUCGCCACUCUCACCCCAGGCCCCGCGCCCGGGGCUGCCCUCUCCGGCUCGGGAGCCGCCCCGAGCCCCGCCCCCCGCCUGCCUCCGCCCGGGUCUCAUCCUUGGGGGUGGCGCGGAGCUGCCGCGCCCCGGGGGAAAGUUCGAUCUGCGGACUUCCUCUGUGCGUCCAGCCUCGGGGAGGAGGCUGGGGGCCUGGGAGGUCUUGCCCUCUGGGAGCCGAGAUGGGGGCAAAGGCAGGGGCACCCCUCCCGGAGGCGCGAAUCCCAAGGAGGAAGUGACACUUAUCAGCCAGACUGACAGAGGGGGCGCCCCAUCCGGCCCCUCCCACCCCACAGUCCCAGAAGCCACCGUGCGAGGGAUCUUCGCGCCCUAGGCUCGGAUGGGAGAGACGCCCAGGAUGCCUAGGGGAGGCGAUGGGAGCACAUUCAGGCCUUUGGACUGUCCUCCACCUCAGCGCUGAUCUUUGUCCGAGUAAUCACACGUUUGCACGAUCGGGUCCGCCUCCUUUGGAUGGGGAUGAGAGCCGCUCACGAAGGAUACAACUUGCAGAACUCUGUACCACGUGGACUCCAGUCUUCACAAUUCAGUGAUGAACACACUCCAAGGAUGGUGAAGUGUCUAGUAGCUGUCCAGGACCAGGAAGUUGUGAGUUGUGGAAGUUCAACAAAAGCAAACUACAUGGUUCCUACCAUCAGGAAUCUACAAUCUAUUGGGGAAGCAACAUUAAGACUGAAACAUUUGAAAUAACAUUGAAAUAACAAGACAGCACUGCAGGACAUCAGAUGCUAGACAGCACGGUACAGAACUGACUCUUAGUGGAACCCAGAAACGGGAGAGAGGAGUGAAGGAUCGAGUGUUUGGGGGAGGGCUUUGUGGAUAAGGUGAGAUGUGAGCUACAUCUUGAAUGAUGGAGAAUAAUAAUGAUAUUUAACAUCUAUUACGUGAUUACUGUGUGCCAAGCACUGUCCUCUGACUUUACUUAUAUUAACUCAUUUAGUCCUCAAGGUAGCUACUAUUAUCUAAUUUUACAAAUGAGGGAACAGAGAGGGUAAUAACUUGCUCAUCGUCACACAGCUAUCACAUGGCUUCCCUGGGGUACAAACCCAGGCACUCUGGCUUCAGCCCACACUCUUAUUAAUAAUCACUGCCCCUUCUUCUGCCUGGUAGCAAUAGCGGAGGGCCAUUUUCUGGUCAUGAUUAAAUUCCAAUCUGUUUCUUAGGUUAUAUUUUUAUACAGAGCCACAAUGAACCCCAAACAUUACAGCUCUGGCUUCAUUAGUGUGAUGAGUCCUUAUGGGUGAAGGUUACUGAUGAGAAAUUAAAAGUACUUUGCAAAGAACAGCACCAGCCUUAGUAACAGAAGAGAACGUCUGCACAUAAUGAAGAGGACCAGCUGGAGGUCUGUUUUGUGUGUGUGUGUGGGUGUGUGUGUCUGUGUGUGUGUGUGAGUGUAAACAGCAGGGCUGAGCCCUCCAGUUACACUGAUCACCUGCACAGGCAGUGAGAAAAACAUCAGAGCUUCAGUUUCAUAUGCACCAUGAAGCACGCAGGGCUGGCUGAGCUCAUCUCGUAUGAUUGUGGUUUUGAAUUCUCUGAACUGCUCCGUACCAGGGAAGUCACAGCCACGCUCAGCGAUUUCCUUGGUGCUGAACACGUGAGAUGUGUGAUGACUCUUCUGUCACGGCCGUGACAGCUGCUCAGCCUUCCAGUUUCACUGUUUUGGCUUAAACAAGGGCUCGGGGCACACUAGGAACCCGGCUUAUUUGUUUGUUUGAUUUUGUUUUGAAACCUGAAUGCAGCCUUGAUGAUGUCAGUGUUGCGAAGCCAGGGGUGGGUGGGGUGCGGGGGGGAGAGAGGGGCGCAGGGAAGGGGGAGGCGUGGCAGAGGGAAAAGCUCAUUGGAUGGGAAUCUCCUGACGUGGUCCCUCCGGGGCUAGGCAUUCCCCAGCUGGCUGAGAGCAGGGCGGGUCAUCACCCCUCCACAUCUACAAAACGGGGCCAGUUCGUGCCCUGGGUUCCCCGUAGGAGCUGUCAUGAGGAUCGCAGAGAAUAAGGACCGUGAGGAUGUGCUACGAACUUGAAGUUCUGUGCAAAAGUGUGCUACGAUGGGGAAUGAAACCCUCCAAUGCCUAGGCUUGCCAACCAAAGUUCACGGCAGACCAACUCAGGAAGAGGCUGUGGGCAAGGAAGACGUCUCCACGAAGGAAGAGAAAUCUUUUCUUGUUUUUGCUCCCUGGAGACAUGUUUUUGAAAUCUGCUGAAAUGUUCUCUCCUUGCUUUCGGUAGGCUUGGCUGUUCUGAACGGGUGAUACUAUCAGCAGCUCAGUGUGAUAGGCAGAGUGCCCAGGAUGGGUAGCGGGGGCUCUGCACCCAAGUUAGGGCAGCAGAACUGUGCAGGGCACUUGUGCCACCCCCACCACCAUGCAAUCCGGCUGGGCUCUGCUCGGGGGAAACCCACGCUGGGGGCACGGCUGGCCCCGCUACUGGACUGGCGAGGCUUGCGUCAAACAGAUCCGUACACCCGUAUGGAACCUGUUGCCCUUGAUGACAGUUCUUGGUGUUUCCCCCGCAGAGGAGGCCAUUUCACUGCAGGAGCUCCUUUCCGGCAAACCUGAGAAUCUUGCUGCCAACAACUGGCCCCAGACACAGGCGGCACCAACGCUUUUCGAACUGACUGCCACAAGUCCUUGCACUGCGAGACCCCGGCACCUGGCCUGGAAUCUUACAGAACUUGAAUCCUCAUUUUCUUCUUUGAUGCUGUCGAGUUGGUGUGCAGAGAAAAACGGCAAGUGCCACCAAAUGCACCUCCUGGCUCUUCAAAUGCAGUACCCAGCAGACAGAAGCAGCCCCCAUGAACAGGGAAUCAAGCUAAUUCCAGGGUUGCAGUGAUGCUCUAAAAUUACUGAGUAGCUAAGAGGCCCCACGGAGAAAGGUCUCAAGUUUCAGCUCGGGUCCAUGGAAACUGGGUCUCAAAUGCUACUUUAGCUCAGGAAUGUUUGGUGGCUCAACCCCUUGUGCAACACCUGCAGCCACUUUUCUCUUCAAAUGACACUCGCAGAAUGCUCUGGCCAGCUCAGACCUAGACAUUUCUGGGUCAUGUGUCCUAUGCACAAUCACCACACCCUGUCAGAAUGCAGCGCGACCUUGAGGACUGAAGUUAGGGUACGAAAACACUGACAUGCUAAGUGUUCAAAUAAAGUUUCAUCUUAGGCUCAAUAAUCCUGACUCUUCAUUUAGAGCUGAUAUAUAGGAAGAAAUGAUCUCAAAUUUAUAAGGUUUUAAUCAUGGGUUCAACGGUGAAUUUGCUUUUGGUGGAGUGGGGAGAAAGGACAAAUUUUACUAAACAUAGUAAAGCCUUAUCUAUAAAUAAGCACAGGGAAGAAAAACAUUUUUAGGAUGCCUGAGUCAGCAUGUUUACAUGGUAUGAUUAUUUAGUUUGGGGUCUAAUUACACUUUGUGACCCCAAAUCCCAGGAUUCUCCUAAGUUUCCUGUACUUCCGACCCCUACCUCCCCAUUAAUGUCCACAUGGGAGAUCACAAACUGAUAAAGAUGGUGACUUCCAUGUUCAAAACACCCAAAUGCAUGUGAGCAUAAAUGCAGAUUUCUUACAACUGUUUAAGAAGUGCAUUGUUAUCAUACUUUCUCACUACAGAAUUUCUAAUGAGAAAGCUCACAACUCACAUGCCACAUCGUAUAUAAGAAGUUGGUGCUUUGGAAGAAAUAUUUUGAACACUAUUUUCUCUGAUUCUUUAAGUCACUGAUGUUUGGUGCUAAUACUUGAUGAGUGGUUUUAAGUCAAAGACAGAAAACAGUAUGUUCAACACAUACAACAUUUUGCAUUUUAGGUUGCUUCAUUAAAAACUUAAAUUUAGGUGCAUUGUUUCCAUUUCUUUGGUCUAGAUACACGAUCUGUUUUCUGGCCUUCAUCAAUACUACCAAAGCCACCCCACCUAGCUCCCUGAAAGAGCCCCGACUUGCUUUCCUUGCCUUUCAUGGACGUCCUUAUCAUACUCGACUGUACACAGCCACUCUAUUAUAAAUUUGGGAAACAUAGGCUUUGUAUUCUUCCUGCUCAAGGACUACUCUUAACCUUUAAUGACACCUGUAUUUUCUCAAUUUAAUAAAAUGUCUGCCAACCGUACUGGCAAAGCCAGCACCACACACUAGAGAAGCGACGUGGUACUCCCCGUGACUAGCACUACGUCUCUGGAUCCUCACGUCUUAAGUCUGCAAAUUAUUCUCCCUGUGUUCCAGUCAACACAAGAGCAGGAGACAGUUCAGAGCAGGCACUAAACAAUUCAGGUUUUCUGGAAUGA